AUUUGAUCCUUGAUUGUGUGAAUGUUAACAAAUUUCCUUCUUUACGUUUUCUCCCCAGUUCACAUUUCAACAUGCAGAAUGGGACUGGGUUGUCGGGCAAUUCAACAUCUCCAACCAAUUUACACGUUAUCAUCAAGUGCCCACCUUUAUGGCGGUCCGACCGCAUCUGGAUCAUCUUGCUGUGCCUGUGGCUCAUCAGCUGUGUCCUCCCCACGGUGGACUUCUCCAUAGCGGGGGCUCGUCCCGGCGUGGACGUCCUCUCCACACCCAUCUAUUGCAACCCUGAGCCCACUCAUCUACGGCUGGCGGGACAAGAGCCUGAGGGACCACAUGAGAAAAGUCACUUUCUGCUGCUCUUAUACUCUCCGGACCCGUGGCAUGCUGAAGCCAUCUAGAUUUUGAAAUGAUUGAUAUAUAUUUUUACCAAAAAAGAAAUCAGUAUUAUAAUAAUAUCCAUAAGAUACAGUUUUUCCUAUUCUUAUUUUGUGUAUACAUGUUUUGAAGAUCAAAGAUGAUGUUAGGACCUUAUUACCGCACCGUGAAAAGUUGUACAUUUUAUUUAAUAGAUGAUUGACAAGUGGGUGGCACAGAUGCCAAUUUUGGAGUGGAUUUUUUAGGCCAAGGCUAAAGUGCACUUUAAAAACCAAAUACAUUUUCAGCUACAAUCUUGUCGCACCGGCAAUAAGGUAAAUGCAUUUGUGUAAUAUGUAACAAAUUAUAUUUGUUCUAACAACCUAGUUAUACCACAACGUAAAGCCUAAUGAUUGCUCAUUCUUCAUAUGAUGCUUUAUAUACUGCUGUUAAUAAAGUCACAAUUGUCUUCUGAAUUAUUAUACUGAGUAAAAUUACAAAUAGUUUUUAAUGUUUAUUGGCCUAUUCUUUCAUUAUUCAUAAUAUAUGAAAAAGGUGGGCCCUUAUUUUUAGUUCCACUGAAAUAAAUAAAGGUGUGCUGGGACAGGUUUUACACACA
ensembl:lncRNA